CAGCAGCCGCGGGAACACGUAGGUGGCAAGCGUUGUCCGGAAUUAUUGGGCGUAAAGGGCUCGCAGGCGGUUUCUUAAGUCUGAUGUGAAAGCCCCCGGCUCAACCGGGGAGGGUCAUUGGAAACUGGGAAACUUGAGUGCAGAAGAGGAGAGUGGAAUUCCACGUGUAGCGGUGAAAUGCGUAGAGAUGUGGAGGAACACCAGUGGCGAAGGCGACUCUCUGGUCUGUAACUGACGCUGAGGAGCGAAAGCGUGGGGAGCGAACAGGAUUAGAGACCCCCGUAGUCCCUGUCUCUUAUAC
rnacentral:rRNA from 1 species